CGACAGGCAUUGUAUCCGACCACAUAGAAAUUAAAGAUGAAGAUCUGAGCCGGAGGCAGCUGCAGGUCUUUCUCUGCUUUGUUGUGGCACCCGGUCCAGCCAUGCACAAGAAAUUUCCCUCCAUCAGCGAACAAUGCAGCCACACUACACCAGACAGUGGGAGAACACACUCAGAGAAUAUACAAGCAUUUGUGCACG